AAGGAUGACUACUUAUAUUUGUUCCCCAAACCUAUAUUUGUUAUUAUAUUUAAGGUCAAAGACGCCGUGUGUUUUCAUUUAAUUCAGACACAUUUGACCCACAUUAUUUGAUUCCGGACACAAUAAUUUAUUUCGGACAGUCUCUAUAUUUAGGCAUCAAUAAACUCAGAUUUUAAUUCUAUAUUAACAUUAACUAAAUUUUAAGAUCCUCAGGCAUAGCCCAUCACAUGAAAUCAUAACGAUGUUUUCAAACUAUGCAUAAAUACGAACACAAAAAAAUAAAAAUAUGAACACACUUAUUCUACCAAAAUUAGGUCACUGGAAUAGUGAUUUCUGCACCGACCUUUAGACUUAUUUUAUGUUUGUUUAUUUUAUGUGUGUUGAAUGUUUGGGGUUUGCAUGAUUAGAUGUGUUGAAUGUUUGUGUUUUUUUUGUUUAUUAAUUUAAUAAAUUUCUAAUACAGAUGAUCUUUUGUAGUAUAGUAGGCCCCUAUAGGUUACGAUAGCCAUUCUUGCCUAACUGAAUCCUCUAUAUUCUCUCUAUAUAAAUCUAGAUCUAUCUAGUAGGUCUAGAUCUAAGCAUUUAACUUCAUUCAAUGUACCAAGCUCACUCCAAACAUUUGCCCAUUUAUUCUCUAUUUAAAAAUAAUAACAACAAACGAACAAAUAUAAUAUAAGAUCAUUUUAUUGAUGUCCAAAACUGGCUGUCCGAAAUAAAUUUUGGUAAGAAAAUCGUAAUUUGAUUCGGACACCGUAUUAAUUUUUUUUUGGUAUGGAAUUAGAAAACUUGGCUUAUGAAUCAAAUAAAUUAGCUCCAAAAACAGAAUAAUUAUUGCCGGGCUCAUUAGUAUAGACUUAGAAAAUAAAAAAAUAUAGUCUUAACUCUAGGAAGAGGUAAAGUCAUCCGGGUAACAUAGGAAAAAACAACAACCUGACUAACUAAUUUGAAAUUCGUUUUUCUUACAUAAAAAGAUGGCUAAAUGGAAGGAAAUUGGGUCAGAAUCAUUGGAAAAUGGACAAGCACAUUAUACAGCGCGCUAGUUUUAUAAUACAUAUUAAAAUAAAAUAAUUAUUUAAUGACCACAAAAAAACAGCGAAUGUCCGAAUUCAUGUAAUGUCCGAAAUAAAUAAACUACUAUAUAUGUGAAUCAUGAAUGGAAGUGCUUGGCUCACAGUGUCACAGAUCGUUCUUUAAACUAUUUGAAGAUCUACUUUAUCUUUACUAACGACUCUAAUCUAUAUCUAGUUUAUAUCUAUAUUUUAUAUGAUAAUAAUAGACCUAGACUCUUAUACUUAUAAUAAAGACAAAGUCAAAGUUAUAAGAUCUAGAAUCUGUAUCUAGAUCUAUUCCCAUUUGUGAUUUAUACACUGAUUAUACACUACAGAUUUAAUGUUUCUGAUGAGCAAUACUACUAUCUACAGCCAUGCCCAUUAACAUAGGCCCUACUCAUGUACUAGAUCUAGCUCUUUUGAUCACAACUCAUAUCUUGCCUAGAUAUAAACAACUGUACUAGAUUGGACUAGACAUUCUAAUUGGUUCUAUUUUCGUUUUUCAUUAUUCUCACAUAUUCUAGUAGGCAAUAGGUACCAAAUUGUGCUAUUUAUUCACUGUAGAUCUAGAUCUUAACUUUUCUCUUAACUACCAAAGAAGUACACAAAGGAUGUUGAAAGGUACCCAAAGGGCUCUAAUUGCUACCAUUCAAUGUGUGGAAUCAAGUAUUUACCCAGAUACUGCCACAAAAUGCUCUUAUUGUUUUCAAAGGAGUUUUCACACAGUGCCAGAAGCUGUAUAAAUAAAUUUAACAAUGUAUAUUUCAAGAAGAAAUGAUGCUUUCUUAUUUCUAAGAGUUUAUCAAUAGGAUGAAUGCCACAAAACUCACUUGUUAUGCCAGAAACUCUUCCUACGAAACUUCCAUACUAGAAUUUGUCCAGUGCCUGUGAAGGAGAAUGUGCUCCAUAAUACCUACUAGGAGCUUGCUGAUAGCUGGAAGUUCAUGAAUACUAUGUUGUCCUUGAUUUGAUGAUUCUGAAAACUACCAUUUCUGAAGACUUGAGCAUUAUUUCUAUAAUUUAAAAAAAUCUUUUCAGGAAAUAUUGUGUUUAUAAUAUUAAGAAAGUGAAGAUAAUAUUGUUCUUACUAAUAUUAUUGACUUAUUAAAAUAGAAAGCACAUCAUUACCAAUAUUCACUUGUCAAUAAAUGUUAGCAUUAUUCAAUUUUUAGUUACAUGUUCAAACUAUUAAAUUUUAUUAUUUAAAUUAUAGCAACUUUCUCUUUCAGUCCAGCUUAAGAUACAUUCCUGUAAAAAGUCUAUAAUAAUAAGUUAAUGUCGAUGUAGUAUUGUUCAGACACUUACAAGUUUAAUCAUCUAUACUUCACAAAAAAAAAGUGUUUGAAUGGUUUUCAUUUGUUUGUACAUCAAAUAUGUAUUAAUAUAAUUAUCAUUUUUAGAUGAAACAUUAAAUACUGAAGAUGACCAUUUCAAUUUCUGAUGUAGGCCUAUUCUCAUUUCAUGAAAUAAAUAGAAUAUUAUCUGAAAUUUCAUCCCUUCAUGGUAACUGUAACUGGCUUCAUAAAAAAAUGGAGUGAUGACUGGGUUGACUAUACAUUUUUGUAUAAAUAAUGCAUCAAUGAAUGUAGCUUAUACUGUUCUUUUCCUCAUUCUUGAAAUGUGUGGACUGAUAAUUAGCUGUUGCAUGAUACUCUAAAUGACAAAUAUCUUCUACUCAUUACAAUAGCAUAUUUCCAUGCUGUUUGGCUAAGUGGAAGCAGAUAAAAUUUGUUCCUCUAUUAGCUGUAAAAUCUCGAAAUUCAUGAGCAGCUGAGAAAAAAAGAAAAGAAAUUCAAACUAGUUUAGACAUGUUAUAAAUAUAUAUAUUUGCUAAUUAAAAAAUGUAAGACUACUUUAUGUUACAACAAUGGACAGCAUCUUUAAAGUUGAUUUCAAUGCAAUCACAAGAAAUAAUUUUUUCUCUACAAUUAGGCCUGCUUUAAUGAUUUUUUUUUAUGUAAAUAAAUUUUAUGCAUAGGAUUAAAUAUAACAUGUACUUAAGGAGAUUUUUUACCUAUUAUUUCACAAUUACAAGUAAUUUAAAGUGAUACAUGUAUUGAUAACACAAUGUUAUUGGAGAAAGUAAAAAAAAAAUCUCACUUGUAAUAGAUCCCUUUUAAUUUGAAAGUUAGUGACAAUCAAAUCAGGUUUUUGGAAGUAGUAUGCUCCUUAAGUAAAAACAAAAACAACGAAAAAUGCAUUAUAAAAAGUUUUCGCUUUAAAUAAAAUUUCUCUUGGGUGACUUGAGUAGAAAGUAAUAGAAAUAUGAACUUCAUUUAGCAAUAUGCUCACACUAAGCAGAAGUGGUUUUUACUAGUGAAAAUUGUCUGUCCAAAUAAGCUAUUGAAACUACUGUUAGCUUCACAUGAUAUGAACUGUAAAGUUUGACAGUUCUUCCUCUAAGACUUUUAGGUACCGGUAUUAUCUAUCAAGAGCAGGGUAAAACAAGGAUGGGUUUUGGCCAUCAACACUAUUCGGAAUGGUUUCGUCUGUACUCUCAUAGCGCCUUGGAAGAUGGAGUAGGCCCUAUAUAUCCACAGUAGAUCGGAUGGAAGGCUUCUUAAACUGGCUUGACCAAAACGAGGAAACUACAUAACCUGAUUAGGGAACUGAUGUUUGACGACCAUGCUGCUCUCACUACCUUUCGCAGUAAUUAUUACAAAGGCUAGUCAAUACUUCGACAGCUGCAGGUCAAUAGUUCAGUCUUACAAUAACUCUCACCAAGACAAAAAAGGGCAUAAAAAGUCAACAUCAUCAAACUCCAUUUGAGUGAGGGCUUGAAAGGCUCAAAUCUUCUCUUGCAAAAGCCCUGGACAGAAACCCUGCUGUAUUGCGUAGUGCAUACAUGUCACCAUACAGAUCGAGAAUUUUUGGUUCUGACCUGUUGAGACGGAGAUCAGCAAGUCUGGGGCAGUCAAACAGAAAAUGAGGCACGGGGGCACCAGGAUUCGAAAUUUGGCCAUAGCCGUGAGAAACAUGAGGCAACAGGACAG